rnacentral:rRNA from 1 species
UACGUAGGGUGCGAGCAUUGUCCGGAAUUAUUGGGCGUAAAGAGCUCGUAGGCGGCUUGUUGCGUCAGCUGUGAAAACCCGCAGCUCAACUGUGGGCUUGCAGCUGAUACGGGCAGGCUUGAGUUCGGUAGGGGAGACUGGAAUUCCUGGUGUAGCGGUGAAAUGCGCAGAUAUCAGGAGGAACACCGGUGGCGAAGGCGGGUCUCUGGGCCGAUACUGACGCUGAGGAGCGAAAGCGUGGGGAGCGAACAGG